rnacentral:tRNA from 1 species
GCCAGUAUGGCGUAGUGGUCUGAGUGUUGGACUAUGACUCUAGAGAUCAGGAUUCGAUUCCCAGCUUGAUCUUG